AGUUUGAUCCUGGCUCAGAACGAACGCUGGCGGCAGGCUUAACACAUGCAAGUCGAACGCCCCGCAAGGGGAGUGGCAGACGGGUGAGUAACACGUGGGAACGUGCCCUUCGCUUCGGAAUAGCCUCGGGAAACUGGGAGUAAUACCGGAUACGCCGUAUUGGGAAAGAUUUAUCGGCGAAGGAUCGGCCCGCGUUGGAUUAGCUAGUUGGCGGUGUAAUGGACCACCAAGGCGACGAUCCAUAGCUGGUCUGAGAGGACGACCAGCCACACUGGGACUGAGACACGGCCCAGACUCCUACGGGAGGCAGCAGUGGGGAAUCUUGGACAAUGGGCGCAAGCCUGAUCCAGCCAUGCCGCGUGAGUGAAGAAGGCCUUAGGGUUGUAAAACUCUUUCGCCGGUGAAGAUAAUGACGGUAACCGGAGAAGAAGCCCCGGCUAACUUCGUGUCAGCAGCCGCGGUAAUACGAAGGGGGCUAGCGUUGUUCGGAAUUACUGGGCGUAAAGCGCACGUAGGCGGGUUUGUAAGUAGGGGGUGAAAUCCCAGGGCUCAACCCUGGAAUUGCCUUCUAGACUGCAAGCCUGGAGGUCAGGAGAGGCGAGUGGAAUACCGAGUGUAGAGGUGAAAUUCGUAGAUAUUCGGUGGAACACCAGUGGCGAAGGCGACUCGCUGGACUGAUACUGACGCUGAGGUGCGAAAGC
rnacentral:rRNA from 1 species